AACCGGGUUGAUAACUAGGCAAUGGUCUCAUUGUCCCCACGACCAACGCCCUUUAAGUGCUCGGAAGAUCGAACUUUUUUUUAGCGAAGGAUCUUACACGUCUUCGGAUGGGCAACAACGCCCCGGGCUGACGAAGCAUGUUUAAUCACUCGCGACAUCU
rnacentral:snoRNA from 1 species